AUUGAACGCUGGCGGCAGGCCUAACACAUGCAAGUAGAGCGGAGCGGCGGACGGGUGCGUAAUGCCUAGGAAUCUGCCUGGUAGUGGGGGAUAACGUCCGGAAACGGGCGCUAAUACCGCAUACUAUCAGAUGAGCCUAGGUUGGCUUAGCUCGUUGGUGGGGUAAAGGCCUACCAAGGCCACGAUCCGUAACUGGUCCGAGAGGAUGAACCGUCACCCUGAAACUGAGACACGGUCCAGAAUCCAACGGGAGGCAGCAGUGGGGAAUAUUGGACAAUGGGCGAAAGCCGGAUCCAGCCAUGCCGCGUGUGUUAAGAAGGUCUUCGGAUUGUAAAGCACUUUAAGUUGGGAGGCGUUACCGACAGAAUAAGCACCGGCUAACUUCGUGCCAGCAGCCACGGUAAUAC
rnacentral:rRNA from 1 species